GCUAGAGAUUCUGGUAAAAGCACCAUUGUGUUGUAUGAGAAUUCUGCAUGUUAAUGGGUUUAACGGAGAGGGCAAUGAAGAGGACCUGCAGGCUGCAGGGAGCAUCAGUGAUGGUGAGAAGGCAAUCAAAGUGCAGGACAUCAAAAACAAUCUGAAAGAAAUGAUCAAAACCAUUGUGGCUGCCAUGAGCAACCUGGUGUCCCCCGUGGAGCUGGCCAACCCCGAGAACCAGUUCAGAGUGGACUACAUCCUGAGUGUGGUGAGCAUGCCCAACUUUGACUUCCCUCCUGAAUUCUACGAGCACGCCAAGGCUCUGUGGGAGGAUGAAGGAGUGCAUGCCUGCUACAAACACUCCAACCAGUACCAGUUGAUUGACUGUACCCAGUACUUCCUGGACAAGAUGGAUGUGAUCAAGCAGGCUGACUCUGUGCCAAGCGACCAAGACCUGCUUCACCGCCAUGUCCUGACUUCUGGAAUCUUUGAGACCAAGCUCCAGGUGGACAAAGUCAACUUCCACACGUUUGACGUGGGUGGCCAGCAUGAUGAACGCCGCAAGGGGAUCCAGUGCUUCAGCGAUGUGACUGCCAUCAUCUUCAUGGUGGCCAGCAGCAACUGCAACAUGGUCAUCCGGGAGGACAACCAGACCAGCUGCCUGCAGGAGGCUCUGAACCUCCUCAAGAGCAUCUGCAACAACAGAUGGCUGCACACCAUCUCUGUGAUUCUGUUCCUCAACAAGCAAGACCUGCUUGCUGAGAAAGUCCUUGCUAGGAAAUCAAAGAUUGAGGACUAUGUUCCAGAAUUUGCUCGCUACACUACUACUGAGGAUACUACUCCUGAGUCUGGAGAGGACCCACACAUGACCCCGGCAAAGUACUUCACCUGAGAUGAGUUUCUGAGGAUCAGCACUGCCACUGGAGGGAGCACCACUAUUGCUCCCUCACUUCACCUGCGCUGUGGACACUGAGAACAUCCGCCGUUGUUCCACGACUGCCAUGACAUAAUUCAGCGCAUGCACCUUCGUCAGUAUGAGCUGCUCUAAUAAGGGAACCCCCAAAUUUAAUUAAAGCCUUAAGCACAAUUAAUUAAAAGUGAAACAUAAUUGU